CUUUCAUGACAGCUCUGGGCCCCUGUGGUACAGUAGCCUUUGCUGCAGCGGAUCAGAGUGAGGGAGAGGAACCAACUGGACUGCUGGUCCAAAGGAAAAGGGGGUGGACCGACCGCAGAGGGCAGGAAUGUGUGUGUGUGUGUGUGUGUGUGUGUGUGUCUGAGUUGGAGAGUGUUGUCAUACAGGACAGCAGGAGGGGAAUUAACUGCUCCCCUUCUUCUGAACCAUGAUCUCAUCCACACAAUCUCCUCUUGACUUGACUGGUGUAGGUAUUCCAGCCAGCUUCUCACAUAGGAUGUAGUCAUUGGGGUUGAUGAAAGGCAGCUGCUCCAUCAUGCACUGUUUAGGAAUGAGAACCACCAUGUCGCUGCCGUGACUGGAGCCGCAGAUCCUGCCCAGGCUGUUGAGGUUCAGGAGGCCGGACAUGCUCGUCCUGUCGAGGACUUCAGCCAAGUGGCUCAGGCCGCCGGUGGGCUCCGAGCGGGAAACCAUAAAGCGAAUGUCGAGAGGUUGACGUCAGGUAUUGCGAUGCUUUCUAAGACUCUGUGACUGACUCAGCGUGCAUUUGUGUGUUGUUCAUUAGAAGGACAAAGACUAGCUCCUACCUCCCACCCUUUAAGAAGAUUAAGCGAGGUGUAUUUUUAGGGUUUAUCUUCACAGUAAAGAGAGGAUCUGGGCUCUAGGAAGUCUCUGACAGCUAACCUUCCCGUUAUUCCUGUGACUUUGACUUGUGUCACAUAUGUCAUCACAUUAGAUGCAUCUUACUGUUCUUCUAAGAACAUCAUAAGCUGCACCUAACGCAUUGUUCAGUUAGAAUCACAUUAUGUAGUAUAGAUGUUUAUAUAGAUGUUUGUAGAAAUCUGUAGAAUAAAACAGCAGCAUGAACACUGG